ACCCUUUAAUGUUUGAUGUUCUAACGUGGACCCGUAAUCCGGGUUGCGGACAGUGUCUGGUGGGUAGUUUGACUGGGGCGGUCUCCUCCUAAAGAGUAACGGAGGAGCACGAAGGUUGGCUAAUCCUGGUCGGACAUCAGGAGGUUAGUGCAAUGGCAUAAGCCAGCUUGACUGCGAGCGUGACGGCGCGAGCAGGUGCGAAAGCAGGUCAUAGUGAUCCGGUGGUUCUGAAUGGAAGGGCCAUCGCUCAACGGAUAAAAGGUACUCCGGGGAUAACAGGCUGAUACCGCCCAAGAGUUCAUAUCGACGGCGGUGUUUGGCACCUCGAUGUCGGCUCAUCACAUCCUGGGGCUGAAGUAGGUCCCAAGGGUAUGGCUGUUCGCCAUUUAAAGUGGUACGCGAGCUGGGUUUAGAACGUCGUGAGACAGUUCGGUCCCUAUCUGCCGUGGGCGCUGGAGAACUGAGGGGGGCUGCUCCUAGUACGAGAGGACCGGAGUGGACGCAUCACUGGUGUUCGGGUUGUCAUGCCAAUGGCACUGCCCGGUAGCUAA
rnacentral:rRNA from 1 species